AGCGAACGCUAGCGGCAGGCUUAACACAUGCAAGUCGAGCGCCAGGUUUCGGCCUGGAGCGGCGAACGGGUGAGUAACACGUAGGUCACGUACCCGAUGGGGGGGAAUACCCCGGGGAAACUCGGGGAGAUGACCCAUAUGUCCGAGGGGAGGAAAGCGGUUGGGGGCGCCAGAGGAUCGGCCUGAGGCCCAUUAUUUAAUCCUAGUUGGUGAGGUAACGGCUCACCAAGGGUACGAUGGGUAGCUGGUCUGAGAGGACGAUCAGCCACACUGGAACUGAGACACGGUCCAGACUCCUACGGGAGGCAGCAGUGGGGAAUAUUGGACAAUGGGCGAAAGCCUGAUCCAGCCAUGCCGCGUGAGUGAUGAAGGCCUUCGGGUUGUAAAGCUCUGUCGUGGGGGAAGAAGUUCUGACGGUACCCCACAAGAAAGCACCGGCUAACUCCGUGCCAGCAGCCGCGGUAAGAC
rnacentral:rRNA from 1 species